rnacentral:lncRNA from 1 species
CAAAGUUGCAGAAUCACAGAAUCAAACGGGUUGGAAGGGACUUCAAGAGAUCAUCAAGUCCAACCUCCUGCCAAACCAGUUCCCAACAAUAGGUUGUGCAGGAAUAAAAGAUCUUGGAGGAGUGCAGAGAAAAACAAGAAAAAAUGCCAUCAAAUUCUCCGUAAUAUCUCCCUAGAAAGAAGAUAUUUAUGCAAGUGGAUACAAGUCUGCCUACAUUGGCAGCAUAAAGACCUUUAAACUCCUUAGAUCAAAAUAAGAUCACAAUGAAUAUUGACUCAACUUGCACCUGACUUGUUUAAUACUAGCUCCUCAUCAGGGAAAACUAGUCUAUUUUGCCUUUGACUUCAUAGCCAUUGUUUGACAAUUCAGAGGGAAUCAUGAAGGAGGGCACCCAAGGGAGA